UCAUCGGAGAGGGCCCGCACGCGCAGAAU
rnacentral:sRNA from 1 species